rnacentral:rRNA from 1 species
UUUAGUUACUACAAUUUGCCUUUUGCAUAAGGAGUUUACCAGUUAUUUUAUGAAGCAAAGCUAAGUUUUAUAAAAAACAAGCUUGUUUAAAGUUACAUAAAAUAAACCCGAAACAUUCGCGAGCUAUAAAAAGCCUAGCUUUAUUUAAUUAUAAAAUUUUAUUUGUCUAAUUAAAAAUUUCCAAGGCUUAAGUUAUAUGUGGAGCAAAACAUUAAUAAGAGCUUUUUAUAGAAGUGAAAAGCUAAACGAGCAAUGAAAUAUCUGGCUGUUUGUGAAAUGAGCUUUAGUUCAGUUGUAUUUUUUUUUAACAUUUAAGGUAGAGCUCUAAUUAAUU